rnacentral:rRNA from 1 species
AGCGGUGGAAUGCGUAGAUAUAUGGAAGAACACCAGUGGCGAAGGCGGCUGUCUAGUCUGUAACUGACGCUGAGGCUCGAAAGCAUGGGUAGCGAACAGGAUUAGACACCCUGGUAGUCCAUGCCGUAAACGAUGAGUGCUAGGUGUUGGAGGGUUUCCGCCCUUCAGUGCCGCAGCUAAACGCAUUAAGCACUCCGCCUGGGGAGUACGACCGCAAGGUUGAAACUCAAAGGAAUUUGACGGGGGCCCGCACAAGCGGUGGAGCAUGUGGUUUAAUUCGAAGCUACGCGAAGAACCUUACCAGGUCUUGACAUACUAUGCAAAUCUUAGAGAUAAGACGUUCCCUUCGGGGACAUGGAUACAGGUGGUGCAUGGUUGUCGUCAGCUCGUGUCGUGAGAUGUUGGGUUAAGUCCCGCAACGAGCGCAACCCUCAUUAUCAGUUGCCAGCAUUAAGUUGGGCACUCUGGUGAGACUGCCGGUGACAAACCGGAGGAAGGUGGGGAUGACGUCAAAUCAUCAUGCCCCUUAUGACCUGGGCUACACACGUGCUACAAUGGACGGUACAACGAGUCGCGAAGUCGUGAGGCUAAGCUAAUCUCUUAAAGCCGUUCUCAGUUCGGAUUGUAGGCUGCAACUCGCCUACAUGAAGUUGGAAUCGCUAGUAAUCGCGGAUCAGCAUGCCGCGGUGAAUACGUUCCCGGGCCUUGUACACACCGCCCGUCACACCAUGAGAGUUUGUAACACCCAAAGCCGGUGAGAUAACCUUC